CGGGCUUCCGGCGGCGCCAUUGCUCGAGCCAGAGCGGGAGGGCGGGGCGACGCGGUGCGAUGGUUUCGGGUCCGCGGCAGGUGAUACCCGCACGCUGCUUCGUGUGCGCUGUCGUUAGGGCGCCGUGGCCUCGCGUCCGGCGUGGGACUCUGGCGAGGAGACGGAGUGAGUGAGGAAUUCGUACAAGGGACUCUCAACCGCAGAGAGCCGUAGGAAGAAAUGAGGUGGAACCCGCAGACUUUUUAGAGCCUUCUCGCGGCCGAGGAGGGACUCUGGCUUAUUUCCUAACUCACCGUUCACUCGUGCUUUAUAGUUGAACAAUAGUUAAAUAUUUAAAGAUUCAGACAAAGCAGCAGCCGGGCUGGGAUGUGUCCAAUGAACCUUGUUACCAAGGGGGAAAUGCUGCCACUCUGUGGGAAAGAGAUUUUGUUGUUUGUUUUUAAUUUAAGAGCCUAACUUAUUUCACAAAGGAAUGGUCGAUACUUGCCCAAAGUAAACUGUCAAUAAUUAAACUGUCAGGGCAUAGAGAUCCCACAGAAGUACUUGUUCUUCCAAUACAUAAAUAAAGGACUUCAAAAGUCAACAAACAGAAAGGGGUGCGUUAAAUGGGUCUUCUAAUCUACAGGAACUGAAAGAUUAGCUCUGGUUUGGUUGGUGCUCACAUUUUGUGAUUGCUUGCCUGAACUACUUGCUCUGUUUGACCGCCUCUGGCGAAUGUUGCAAGACCUCCUCACUGUUGUGUGCCAAAUAAAGCAGGUUUUUAUUCCUGAGAGACUGUGAGUGUUCUCUUUGAGGGGCAAGCCGAGACAUGUAUGAGUAGUUAAAGUAUAACAACAGUAACCAUUAUUUACCGAGAAGCAGACUUUGGCAGAUAAUCUAAGGAUCUAAAAUACUGCUCCUCGGGUAUAUUGCUAAUGGUUGCAUAUUGUAUUAGCAGCAGUGGUCUUCUUAUUCUUGGGUGAAAACCUGAAGGGUUGCUUAGACCUGUUGCAGAACAAACAGCACAUAACCAGCUUGUAUCAGGGACAUGGUCACUUCAGUAGAUGGUUUCUCACAAGUUCUGCCUCCCACUGUGUUGCUGUUUUAUCUCUAAAGGCCCCAGGGUCCCCACAAGUCUUGGGAAUAAAAGGAAGCACAGUAAGGAACUGAAAAGUACUCACACAAAGGAAAGAAAGAAGCAAGCUUCUUUGGCUAUAGUGUACUGGAGACCUUGGGAUCUUUACGUUCUUGUUUUAGGGAUCAAUCUCCUGGUACAUUAGGCAGACUUGUGCAAACCCAAGAACAGCAUAGAGGUUGCUAUAGAGGACAGCCUUACUGUGGCCCUUCAUUACCUUAACCAAAGAUGGUAAGUAAGAUUGGCUCCCACACCGUGAACUGUUCAAUGGUGAGCAGCUCUUGAGUCUCCAUACUGAUACCCCUUCAGAACUCAUUCACUCUGAGAGCCUUUUCCUCUUAGACUAGAAAGCUUCCUAGUUGACCUCUAGUCAUUUGGGCUCCUUCACAUCAGUAAAUUAGUCUAUAUCUGACCAGUCCUCUAGCUCCUUAUCCUUUCUGAGAGGAAGGGGAGUAGUUGUGGUUUUGUUUGUUUGAGUCUUGCUAUGUAGUGGAGGCUAUACUUGGACCCUGGGUCAUUCUGGUCCAGCCUCUUAAGUAAUGGAAUGAUGGACAUUCACCACCGCUAUUGUCUCUUAACUCGGACUUUAGUGUCUCCCAAAUGUCCUUCAGACAUCGUUUUUAAAUAACAAUAAGUUCUGCCUUGUUCGUAAGUAAAUUUUAGCCAGGUGUAACCCCCUAGACUUGAAAGGUGAAGACAAGCAGGUUAAGAAUUCAAUAUCUUGAUAGGCAUGCAGUGAGUUUGAACCAUUCCAGGCUACUUGAGACCCUGCCUCAGAGAGGAGGUAGGGUGUUGAGGUAGUUCCCAUUGGAGUCCAGACUGGGAAGAGCUGUGUAUUCAAAAUUAAAACAGCUUGCCUGCAUAGGGAACUCUAAAGCGAAGGAAGAUCUACACAGUAUUUGUGAUUACACAAAGCCUUAAAAAAUUGUAAGUUUGCUUUUCUCUUGAGAAGGUGAUGUCUAGCAGACUUGUCAUUCAUUGGUCUCUAAAGUCUUUCUACCUUUGUAAGUACAAAGUUAAGUCUCACUCUAACCGUGUGUCAAUGAAAGGAGCAUGCCCUGAAUAAGAUUGUACUGUAGGGAUGUGAUUUGCUCUGGUUAAAAGGUGCUGAAAGGUCUCUCACCUGUACUUGGCCUUCUGCCCCCCACCCCUAGUUACCCUGUACAUAUAUGACUUCUUCUGGUAGGAUUGGGUUUUAUCCCUGAAGUUUUAUUUUUACAGUUUUGCUUUUCAUCCAAACACAGUGCAAAUGCCUCUCUUCAUCAGCACGUUUGUAACUUUAAGAAUUAAUUGGGCUCGUUAUAUUUUGAAGAGCAUGCUGAAGAAUAGUAAAUUUUAAAGAACCAGCUGAGAACAUUGUGUACCAUGUUCUGAAGUCAGUGCGUCUCAAAUACUGUCGCUAAUCCUGAAGUAAAUCACCCAUCAAAGAUUCAUGUUCUUAGACAGUUAAAGAACAGAAGACUUCAAAAGUAAAGCAGGAUUCUAAACAUACCUUACCAAAAUCCCCACUCGCUCAGAGUCUUGGCAGAAGUGUUUUUGUUUUUCUUUUUCCCUCCACAAAGUAGAGUUAUACUUUUUGAGUCUAUCAUUGCCCACAACUAAAAUCCCCGACUUCAGGAUUUCCUGCUGCCCAGGUGGUGGCAGCAUGUCUCAGAGAGCUAGUGUGCUGGGGAAAGGCUUAACCCCAGCCUGGCUGGCUGGCUGCUUGUUUGAACGUGCAUAACCUGCCUCUGUGCAGAACGCUUUCACUUCUCCAUUUAUCGACCCAUGAGUGAUUCAUCCCACUGUAGCCUCCUCUUCUAGGUACAUUACACUCCAGUAGUUUCUCUUCAGCUUGUUCUGUCUAUAAAGUAUCUAUCAGACUCUCUCUAGAAAACUCAUUAGGACCUAUCAGGCGAGACAGUGUUAUUUCAGUUGUUAUUUUUAACCAGUAUUUGAUAUUAUUGGCAGUACUGACAGUAUCAGUAUUAGCUAAUACUACUAAGAAAUGUCUGCUUAAAAUAAAGGCAUGGUGUCUUAAACUCACAGAUUCAUCAGCGGAGGAGCUUAUGAAAAGCAGAAUUAGGACUCAAACGAACAAGAAACUCCACAGAGAGUAAUGCGAGAUUAUCAUUUAUGGGUCUAAGAAGACAGAGGGUAUAGGACGCUGGCAGUCAAGGCUGAAUUCCAUCCCCAGAUCCCAACUCAUGGAAGAUCAGACACGAAAGUGUAUGUUGGGGGAAGACAAAGACUCGUGCCCCAAUGUAAGACCUUAAGGAUGGAGGGAGAUGCUCCUGUCUGAAGCCAUCAAUUUGCCAGGCUGUUCUCUAAAAUCGGAUGGAUCUUGGGGAAUGACUACGGACCGUUGCUGACUUAACUAAAUAGUACCUGAGUUCUGAGCCUCCAGCCUGGACUCGUGCUUCAGAUAAUGAUACUACCACAAAUACAAAGUCUUCAUCUGUUGAUUUGACGAGUGUCUUUAUCCUGUUCCAGUGGGAAGAGAAACAGUCCACCUUCACCAAAUACAGGCAAGGCUGUUAACUCCUCCACCCUCGAUCAUAAUAAAAAUGAAUUAAUCGGAAUCAUUUGAAUAUCCGUUAUAACAAUGGCCUGAUCCCGUUUAUCGACCAUAUUGUACUGAUUGGAUCUGAUGAACAAAAGACAGCCACUAUGCUGAAUACCUUUGCUCCAGAAGGAGGGGGUAAAUGCUAUAAAGACUAAAAGUUUUCUGACUCUUUAUUUUUUUUUUUAAUGUGUCUGCAUGCUCUUGUGUGUGCAUGCAUGUAGAGGCCAUAGGCAGCCUCAAGUGUCACCCUCAGGAAUGCCAUCUACCUCCUUUGCUUCGCACAGAAGCCGGUUGUCAUCCUCUGAGCUGCUCUAAUGAGAUGCAAGGACCGAAGGAUGGCUGAGGGCCAGGGAGGAGCUCAAUCCUGUCCUUGGGAGUCGGUCUGGUCACGUUCUCUUCUUUCAAGCUGAAGAUGGCACCCGCUCGGCUAAGCCGGUGAAUGUGGACUUACAAGGACUCAGCCAAGUCGUGUCUAGAUUACAGGCCAAAGAUGACGAGGGAAAGAGAGCACCAGGCAAAACAAAUUUUAAUUACAAUAAUGAUGAAUGGUCCAAUAGAGCUGCAAGAUAAUGGAAGGAAGAUGGGGUACCUGAAGCCAGCUCGUUAAAAUCAGAAAAGGUGUCCUCGAGGAAACGUGGGUCCCAGACUUAAGUCUGGAUAGCCGCUGUGUCCCCACAAGAGGAGGAACAGUCAUGGAGAAACACAACUGAACUUUACUGUGGCAAAAAGAAAGGGAAAAUAACAAUUAUGAGGUCUGGACAUCGAGCCUGAGGCUGGUGUUAAAAAAAAAAGAAUGCUUAUGUCUGCAUAACUUAACUUGUAUCUCUUCAGUAAAUCAAACCUGCUAUUCCACUUGACUGCAUCCAAGUCACUUAGAUGUCUGCCAACAAGAACAUUAAUGAACUCAGUAUCUCACGCAGGUUUGUUCAUGUAGAGCCCACAAUUGCUUAGCCUCCCUUCCAGCUGCUGCCUGGGCUCCAUCUGAAGGAGGUGGACAGCUGGACCAGGUCAUCACUUAACCCCAGGAUGUGGUAUGUCCUGGUCUUCAAGUCCUCUGUCUGGUUUUAGGAUGGCAUGGCUUUGAAAAGUAGUAGUUCUUGUCCUGAAAAACUUCAUGAAGCUUUGCUGCGUUCUGCCUUUGACGUAAGUGCCUGUCACAUGCUACAUAACUGACUAUGUUGUACUCUUGCUCUCUGGGGUCUCAGUUUACCUCCAUGGAUUUAUAAUUAAUGGGAUUAUUCCAGAACACAUUGUUACUCCUUAGAUUUCUCCAGAUGAUACGAGACGAUUAAGAGAAAUGCUGAAGUUGAUAUGAACCUAAUUUGUCAAAAAUGUAACAGAAUUAUAGAGAGAUCAGUCACUCCCAAACCUUUCUGCAGGUGGAGUCUAACGAAGGGAGGUCUAUAAAGUUCUAAGUCCCAGGCUGCGUGCCAGACCAAUAAAACCACACUUCUGAGGAUGGGCUUCAGGCAACAGUAGUAUGUUCACUCCACAGGUCAUCCCCAUGUGGAGACAUGUUUGGAAACCACAGAUCUGGACAAGGCCGUUGGCAACACGUCUGUGGCUCGUUCUCCCCUGCCCUGCCCUGCGGUUGGUGGCAUGUUUUUGGCUUUUUAGCAUCUUCCUUAUCUCCAUCCACAGAGAACUCCGAAGUUGGAAGCCUAAGCAGGAACACUGGACCAGACAUGACUGAAAGGUAACAACCAUUAAAGGAGCAAAGACCAAAAAGUGUGUCUGAAGCAGAUGGCUGCACUUCCCGCUGGGUCGAUGCUAAUUUUUAAGCAUGUUACUAAUGACAAAGUUUUUUUUUUUUCCUCUUGCAAUUUCAGACACCAAAGACUUUUCAAACAGUUUGUGAACUCUGUUUAAUGAGAUACAAGUCUCUUUUAUGCUGUAAGCUUUAGACUUCCCUUGCUUUGGGACUUGGUUGGGUUAGUGACUGUGAAACAGGAAGUUCUAUGAGCACGGAGUGAGGACUGUCCACUUGUCAUGUUUAAAGAAUCACAAUCUGAUGCAAACAAAAGAGUAGGUAUUGAAAGCCUUACAUUUCUGUGUAUAGACAAUACAUUACUUAUUUAUAGAAAUAACUACUUAGCUGUCCAGAAACUGAGGGGAAGGGGGUUUAAUUAUAGCAACAAUGUUUACUCGUAGGUGAAUUUACAUGUUGGAGCUCAGAGCUCUAACACUGCACAAAUAAUUGCUUGCUGGCUUGUAAAAUUUUAGGACUAGCAGAGGAACUCAGUUAUUUUGCCAGCUCUACCUUGGGAGAGACAGAUUGAAAUAAAAUUGCAACUCGAGUUUUUGGAUGACUCCAAUUAUCUAAAUAGAUGUGGCCUUAAUUUAAAGAAGUUUAUGAACAAGUUCACUAUAUAUAUUUCACUAUUUUUAAGCUUUAGUCAACUUAGAAGCAAUGGAUACUUCGUUCCUGAUCUAUUGCUUACUUAAAAACUUUCCAUGCUAAUAUGUAAAAGACCUUGUGCUUCAUUCGUCUCUGACUGCUAGCACCGACCGAGCAGUAGAAACCAAAGACUCAUAGCUAUAAUCUAAUCAUUCAUAAUAUCUCUUAGGAAAAAAAAUUCCAGAAACAAUUCUGGUUGGGAAAUGCAUUUUUAAUAUGUAUAUAUAUAUGUAUACUGUACAUAAUUGUUCUGUAUAUAACUGUUUGAGGUGUAUUACUACAAUGGAAUGAGUCCCACAGGAUACUAGAAUUUAGCUUACAGUGUUGGAAGGCCGGAGAGUCCUGACUCCGUGACUAGUUCAUCUCAUGUUGAUUGGCAGGCACCAACAGCUGGACCACAUUAGCUGUUACACACGAGCCAGAACAAAAAGGCCAGGCUUACCACCUUAAAACCACCUCGUAGGCCCUCAGUGGAGGGGGCCCGGGAAGAUGACUUGAUGGUUAGAAGCAUUGGCUGCUUUUCCAGAGCACCCACAUGACAGCUAACAACCAUUUAUAGCUCUAGUUCCAGGGGACCUGAAGCCUUCUUCUGGCCUCUGCAAGCAGUGAACACCCCCUUUGCAUGGACAUACACGAAGGCCAAACACAUAAAAUAAAAUAAUAAACCUUCAGGGGCUCUAGAGCACUUCCUUCCCAAGGCAUGCUCUGCGGACUUCUUUCUUGGAGAUAGUCCAAGGCCUCACCUUUGAAAGGGAUGGCUACCUCUAAAUAUCACCACUGUGAAGACCCAGGGUACACUAUAUGAACACUCACAGAGACACAAACUCUAUUAAGAGUUUCUAUUAUUAGAAAUAAACUUUUAUCCAAGAUGUGGAAAUUACAAUGGUCACCAUUUUUCGUAUAAGAAUUUUAGCUCUAUCAUUACUGAGGAAAUUAUGAACAGCUGGAGUGUGCUACUAGCGUGUGUAGGACAUAGAGUCCAGGGGCCUGUGUCCACAUUGCAGUUACUCUAAUAUCCAGUGGCAUUUUAUUUGUCUUUUGCUAAAAUGCCUUUUUAAUGUACACAUUUGCAUUUUGUCCCAGAGGGCACUUGGGCCAAUCCACAGGAAAUGUCAUCUCCUGUCUGCCAGUUUUAAAUUUCAUUCCAAGGAAGGGCUGCCAUUAUAGAGGUAAGCCAAUAGCCACUAAUCGCCAUACACCAGGACUUUGAAUUGAGCCUGGGAAUUUGUGUGCAAGCGUGAAUCUUCCCAGAAAUUAACCCAGUGACAAGGUUGCGAGUUAGAGAUGGCAUUUCCCAUCUCGUCCCAGAAGCAGUUAUGUCAGGGGAAGCCGAGUUCUGCCUGCUGCCGUUUGUCUUUUGUUUUGUUUUGUCCAACAGUGGACUAUCAUCUAAGUUAAACGACCUAACCUUUAAGUAAGGUUAUAUAUCUGUUUCCUGCCUCCUGCCCCUUUUGCAGAAUGCUGGCUUAUUGAAACACAAUAACAGGAGACAAUUGUCCUGGUUAACUUUGUAUUGUCAACUUCAUACAACGUACAGAAAGAUCAGUUGGUUACGGUUUGAGUCCGAUUUACCGUCGUCUGUGCCUGGGUCAGCUCCUGUUAGUUUGGUUUUUUUGUUUUUAUUUUUGUUUUC
rnacentral:sRNA from 1 species